UUUUUUUUUCUUUUCUUUUUUCUCAUAUUUUAAUCUUCUUGAGCUGAUAAAAAUCUCCUGUGGUGAAAUUCAGCCUAAUACAAAACAUCAGAACAAGCUCUGUGCAGCUCCUGCUCAUUCUCUCUUCUGAAGAACAGAUUUAAAGAACCAGCAAGGGGGGAACAAACAGACAUGGCCAUUGUUCCAAAACGUUGGCUUACAGUUUUUAUAAUAACUGAUAGAUCUCUCUUAAGGAAAAAAAAUAAAAAAUAAAAUUAUAACCACCUCUAAGUGAGUAUAUCUACUUCACAGAUUAUUUAAAUAUUAAAAAAAAAAAAACCCCACACAAUUUCUGGAAUCUGAUUCUUUGCCUUCAUUUCAUUAAUCUCUUCAUUUUCUAUCUCACACAGAUGUAUUUGUGUAUAUGUAAGGAGGUCAGAGAAGAGGUCAGUUAUCGGCUAGAUAAGCCACAGAGGGUAUUCAUAAAUAAAUGUAAGACUUUAAGCAAAAUGAUGACACUGCUGUAUAGAACUUUAAAUAACUUUUACUUUCCCAAUAAGGGAGGAAGCUUUGAGCAGCUUUGGUUUAUGUAUUAUUUAUGCUGUGUUCUUACUUUCCUUAUUGCAAUCUACCCAAGGUAAAGAGAGCUACCAUUAUCUUCUCUACAUCCUAGUCCAUCCCUCAGUAUAAACACACUACCAAAAUAGAUGAUCUCCUUACAUUUCAGACUGUGCACAUGGCCACUUGCACUUGUUCAACCAUAACAAACAGGGCUAGAAAAGACAUACUGUUCUACCAUCAGACCAGGAUGUGUCACCCUUGCCUAAGUUGUGUCUCUUCUCACCGGAAGGAAGAGUAAAUUUCACCCACAGUAUACCAAAAAACAACCACAAACCAGUACUCUGACCUUCUGUACUAUGAGUUUUUCAGAUUUCCAGCUAAUGCAUGUUUCAUAAUAAAAUACUUUUGUUUUGGGACUUUCCAGUCAAAACAAAUUUUAAUUCCUGCUAUGUGGAUAUAUGUUUCCCUAAUUAUGACUCUCAAUCUGCACUCAACUGUAAAAGUGGGGGAAAAAAAAUCAACAACUUUCCCCUUCUUUUCUUCAGAGAGAAGCCUGGAAUGAACCACUAGAAAGCCAUGUAACACUGCAUAUAUGUUGCUUAACUCAGUUUGAUCCUCCGCUACAGGUACAGAUUUGGACCAUCCACCUUUGAAUAUAUACAUUUUUACAAUUUUCCAUUCAAAAUAAGUUUGUAGAGAGGUUUGAGAUGUCAAAAAAGACAAUAAACAUGAAUAUAUUGACUAAUCAGUAUGGGUCCAAAAGCUCAUUCUAAAUCAAAGGCUAAAAUAAAACUUCUUAUACUUCUUUCCAUUACAGUGUACAUAUUGGUUUUGUUUGUUUGUUUGUUUGUUUGUUUUUUGUAGUGUCUGUGUGUUAAAUUUAAAAAGGAACUGUGACUCUACUACAGUUGUAAACUAUUGCUGGGUAUUUGCCAUUCUGGCACUCCAUGAAAUAUGCAGCGAUCUGCCAUAGGUCGUGAAUAGGCUCCUUGAGUAUUUCUUGGUCUGCUGAACAUUCACAGUGAUAUGGAUACCUUUCAUUUUAAUGGAAAAAACUGUAAGACAGUGGAAAGUUUCAUCUAAAAAUAAGACGCAUAGAUUAAAUAGAUUCUUUUUGAAAUGGAAAAAAAAAGAGGAUCACUUAGAGCUGAUAGUUGUACUGCCCAAAUCUGCUCUGUGUAGAGCCUGGGUUAGUGACCUGCAUGCCCAAGAGUAUUUGGCAGUGUUUUGGUUAUUGAAGGACAUUGAAGCUAUUCUGAUUUUAAUUACUAUUUGACUGAAAAGGAGUACAGGUAUGAUAGAGGGGAAAAAAAAAAAAGAAAAAAUCCUCUAAUAUCUAAUCUAGGCCUUGAAUUUUCAAAUGGCACAAUUAACAGCUUGUUGCAAUUUGCAAAAGGGAAGCAGUGAUCACAAAAUACAGCACUGAAUGCUGCCCUGAACAUCUGCAGUGGCUAUGGCAAAGAAGCAGUCUGAUAAAAUAUCUUUAAUCCUUCACAGUUAAGAGAAAUAAGGGGUAAUUCAGUAUGCAAGUCAAUUUGUUCAGAGACUAUAUGCAUUGAGACCCAUGUUUCUGUCCAGUUAUACCUGAACUAACUCUUCGCCAACAGGGUAUGUCAGAAUGGAUCUUUACUUGCACUGCUUCAUAGAAUCAUAGAAUGGUUUGCAUUGGAAGACACCUUAAAUGUCAUCUAACUUCUCCACCAUGGGCAUGGCUACGUUACACUAGACCAGGUUGCUGUAUCCAGCUUGGCAACUUGUUACACUACCUCACCAUCCUCUGAGUAAAGAAUUUCCCCUAACAUCUAAUCUUAAUAUUUUAGUUUUAACCAUUCCUCCUUGUCCUAUCAUUAUCAGACCAUGUAAAAAAUCCACUUUCAACCUAUUUAAAUAAGCCACAUUUAAGUACGGAAGGGCCACAAUGGAACCCUCCGCAGUCUGAAAAAGCCCAGCUUGCUCAUCCUGUCCUCAUUGGAGAGGGACUCCAGCCCUUUGAUGUUCUUCACAACCUUCCUCUGGACCUAUUCCAACAGCUCCACAUCCCUCCCGUACUGGGGGUUCCAGCCUUGACACACAAUUUCAGAUGAGGCCUUUCAAGCAUAGAGUACAGGAGUAAAAACACCUCUCUCUCCCUUCUGGCCACUCUUCUUUUGGAGCAGCUCAGGAUACAGUUGGUCUUUGGGGCUCUAAGCACACACUUCUGGUUCGUGUCCAGCUUUUAAUGCACCAGGAUCCUCAAGUAUUUAUCUGCAGGGCUGCUCUCAUUUAGUUAUUCUCACCAUCUGUACUUAUGCUGAUAACUGCCUCUACCCUUGCAGCACCUUGCAUUUAGAUUUGUUGAACUUUGUUACAUUAAUGCAGGCCCCUUUCCCAAGCUUGUCCAGGUUCCUUUGACAUCAUCUGCAAACCUGCUGAGGGUGUAUCUGAUUUCAAUAUCUAGGCUGUUGAGAAAGCUAUUAAAGAGCACCAUCCAAAGAUGAGGGUCACCACUCAUCACUGGCAUCCACCUGGAUAUAAAGCUGUUGACCAUAACCCUCUGGCUGCAACCAUACAGACAAUACAUGCUGUUAACCUGUUCUAAGGAAAAAAAAGAGUUAUAUAACAGGUGCUUCUUGGGCCUCAAAAUUACCAUCUCCCAAGCUUCUCUGAAAACAUUCUAGGUUGCUAAGUGGAUAUUGUCAAAGCUGGCAUCCCACCGAUCAGAAAUGGUUGU
rnacentral:lncRNA from 1 species